UGAAGGUUAAGUUGUAGUUGGAAUUAGAGUUGUAUUUAGCUACUACUGGAUGGACCGUGCCCUGCUUAGAACGGGCAUGUUUGCAAUAUUGUUGUACAAAAGCAGCCCCAUUUAGAUGUGUACAGUAAUUAAAAAGUACAAGGCCAAAAUAUCCGAAAAGAAAAAUUACAAUUUAUUUUCUGCAUUACAACCUUCGCGUCCUUGUGUUUCAGUCUUUUGUGUGACAGCUUCCAAGUCCUCGAGCUUCGACCUUUUAUCUUUACUAUAAAAUCACAGCAACAUCAAAGAAUUCAACAUCUUUCACAAAAUGUUCCUUGAUGAAUGACCUGAAAGUUGAAAAAAAAUUUGGAUAAAUAAAAUCACCAAAAAAUAUAUACUUAUUUUGAAACACCAACUAUAUCUUUUCUUAUCAACCUAAAAUUAGACAAACAAGAGUCAUGCUGCAAUGGAGAUACAAAUGUAAGAAAAUUUAAUGCCAUUUCCAAAUAAUAUCGAAAUAAGUUAACAGUUUAUAGGGAUUGUAAAAGUGAAAUAAGAAGGCAAUUAAAUUAUCCAAGUGGAAUUUGGGAAGGUAGAAUAUACACAGACCUUAUAUUAUAUAGUUGCUUCAGUGUAGUCAUAUGACAUAUUAGGUGAACACCUAAAAUUUGCGACUUGACAGAAUUGAUUCAUCUUAGCCAAGUUCCACCUUAUUUAUCUUUAUGAGUCUUCUAUUCCAUGAUAAAAAGGUAAGUGCCAUAAAACAGAUAGUCAAAAUACGUCGAAACUAUGACUUGCUUAAGAUAUUAACAAGUGUAUAAGAGUUAGGUCCCUUAAUUUGAACCGAAGAAAUUCACUAUAUCUGAUUGAUGAGGAUAGAUCUUGAACUAUUACACCAUUUCAUAUAGCUUGUUAACAAGAAACAAAAGUACUCGAACAGAGAAAUGCACUCAAAAUUCUUAGCACGAUCUUUGUUAAUGUUACUGGAAAGUGGAAACUAUUUCCGUAUGCUAAAUAAAGAGUUUUUACAUAACCUGGCAUAGUUUCUGGUAUGUAGAGUGAACAUUUGAUAAAUUCCAAAAGCCUUGAUAUAUCCAGAUGUGAAUUCAGUAAUCAUCCUUGUUCCUUCCAAACUAUUAACAUAUCUCCUCAUCUGCGUGUAUGUGCUCCCUUUAGAGGUUUUUCAACUUCUGCUUAUAGUACUCAGCCUUUUUAGAGCAUAAAUUCAGUAAAUCCUUCAAAGAAAAAGCAGAACAUAAUAAAGGAAAAAAUAAUGUAGCUCAUUCAAUUUUUUUGAUAACUGCAAUGUCCGGACCAGCUUUUACGCACCUCGACUAAUUUCAUGAGAUUCUUCAAAAAAAAAAAGCAGAAUAGAAUUAAGAAAAUAAUGGUGCAACUCGUUAUAAAUAGCUAAUAAAGAAAUAAAUUUUAAAAUAGACACAAAAAUUACAAUCUUUGAACAUUGAUAGAUCUAGAAUCGUAUACUCAGACAAUGUGUGCGCUGAGGAACGCCCUUAUCCUUUUAGCAGCAAUAUAUCAUGAGAUAAAUAUAACUACUGCUUUACCGUACCAAACCAGCAGUAGACUCUACACUUAUACUUAACAAAGAACAAUCAAAAAAGUCUGUCUUUGUCUAGUUGAAUCAUCAAAAUUUCAAUGAUUUAAAUAGAUAAAUACAUCAAACAAUAAUAUGUAGUCUUGCUCAGGUAAAUACACUCAUCCAUUAAUUUCAUUACGAUAUUGUCUUCCAACAAAGUGAACAUUUUGCAAAUACUGCCCUGAACUAACCAAAUAGGCUUUUUCCCACCAAAAUCAAAUUCAUAUACUGGGAACAAAAUGCAACUGUUAGAUAUGAACAUACCAAUAGCAUUGGUGAUUUUCACUGCAUAGAUAUCAACGAUAUGAACACACCGACACUGCAUUAAUUGUUUCACUGUAUUGAAUAUUAAAGACACCUAACCAAAUCAUACCAUCUAUCAUCCUGAGGUACCACACGCCAAGCAAUGAACACUAUUUAAGAAUUUUCAAAGAUAUUUCCCGAAAUGGGAACAAUUGCAACCUUUUCCACCAGGUUCACGACAGUUGAUAGUUGUCCAUGUUUAUCUUGAGCUAUACACUGAUCAAAGUUAUGGUGUAACUCUUCCACACGACAUCAAUUUUCGCCGUCAGUCGAGUCUAGAUUUGAUUUUAUGGCAAGUACUUAUAGCAUUGUGUAUUUAAGUCGAGCUAUUUGGGACACAUUUAAUACAAGUUACGCUAGUUGAACACUCACCUUAAACACAGAGUUUUCCUUGGGACCAAAUUGCAUUGGACAUUCAACAGUUACAAUAAGAAAAUAAAGAAGAGCUUUACUGAGCAUCUGAAAGAAGACGAAAUGCAAGAGAUAACCUAUAAGGACUAUCAAAAUAUAUGACUUGUUUUGAUAUCAUGAGGACCAUUAAAUAUUUGUUAUGACUUUUACGAGUACCAGUGACAAAACAAGGGAAAAAUUAAAAAGAGUUAUCUUCACUAAUAGAAUAACUACUACAAUAUUCAGAAUUUCAGGAUUCUAAAGACAUACUCGGAAGCAUCUUCACAAAAAGAUUAUCUUCAGCCUAGAGAGAGACCAAGAAUCAUUUUAGCUUCAAACCAUGUGUACAAGUAAUCACUGAAUCAUUUUAGCUUCAAACCAUAUGUACAAGUAAUCACUGAAAAAUAAAAGAAUGAUGCAGGAACUUCAAGUUAUAUCGAAUGAUAUUCUAUGCUUAUUAAAUUUGUAAGAUUUGAGUCAUAUCUUAUACAACAAAGUUUUGAUCUUAAAUUGAAGGACUUGUGCAUCCGCAUCUUGUUAGGCACUCACUUUUGAAAGAUAAACUUAUUGUCGGAGGAUUUGUGAGCCAUUUUUACAAUUCUAUACUCCUAAACUCAUUAACCUGAUAGUAGUAAGUUAUACAUCACAAAAUAAAGUAACAUGCAUGAACUGUGAUCACUUGAAACCUAAAGAUCAGGCCUUAAAAAGUACACAAAUUAAAUUACUUCAGAUUUUACAGAACAUUCAAUAUUCUCGCUCCACCAUCUUUCCUUUCACAGACUAACACCUUUUAUUGAUCGAUGUAUGAAAUGGUAGAUCAAUAUUCCUCUAUGGGUAUUUCGAAGCAAUCUCUUUGUUGUCCGAACAGUGACCAGAUCAUACUAUAUAGCAAAAGAAAAUUAUGAAUUAAUUCAAAUUGUAAAACAAAGAAUGGAUAUCCAAAAAAGCAGAUUGCAAACUAUUCCAACAAAAACCUUAUAUAGCAAAAGAACCAUAUGUUAUGUGAGCAGCUUUUCUUCAAUUGCUUCUCCAAAUCGUAACACCCGUACCUAAUGGGUUGCAGCUAUAGAUACCAAAAGAUUGCCAAAAACUCAAGAGAAAUAAAAUUAAGGAGAAAACAACAACCCCCCAGAACAAAUCCUAUGAGGACCUAUCAUAUUUUAUUUUUUCGAGAAGUAACUUAUCAUUUGUUAUCUGAAGUGAUCCUGCUCACAAGUACAUUCAUGUGGUCUUGCUAUCAUGUGUUCUUGGUAGGCAUAUAUCCAUCUAUCAAGAAAAGCCCCUUAAUCCUAUGCAACAACUCGUCGUUAUAAACUAUGUUGCACGAACUCUCUGCUUUUCAUGCCGCAUUUGUGUCAAACUCUUCAAAAAUACACUACUUUUACAGUAUCCGAUACACACCCAUUGAAAUUUUUGUAGAGUUCGGACAACAUAGGUUAUAGCAACAUAUCUACAAAUUUAUUAUGUUUUUAUCCAAAUAUCAGUUUUAAUAGCCUAGUAGCAAAACCAAACCACUUAUGAAAUCUAUUUUUGCUUUUACCAUCUAGUAACCUUAUGAAGCACCUUAUGAAACUCCAUCAACUUGGUGCCACAAAGUAAAAGACAUGUAAUUCCUGUACACUUGAUCAUACUUGAACUCUCAAAACAAAUUAGUAAACAUUAUUUAAAAUUUUCUUGAAGGAAGCUAUAAGAAGGUGUGCAACUUCCGUUUCUUUCUCUACACAAACACUCACAAACCUACCAUCCAUACCUUAUGGCUAGCUGCUACGACACAGAGCAUUGCAUAAAUAAAGUAAACUUUUCUCUUCUACUCUUGUUUUAGACAAAUAGAAAGAAGAAACUUAAAAUCUCUUAGUACAAGAAGUUGAAAAUCUCAUACUUUUCUACCUUAAAUCACUUUAGAGAACAUUGGCUUCAUGAAUAAGCUAAUUAGGAUUGAUAGAGUUGAUACUGAUGAAUCUUAGAGUUAAACUACCUACUGAAACAACCUAGUUUAAAACAAAAUGUGGCUAAAAUAUCAAUUCAGAAAUUAAGAAUGACAGUGAAAGCCUGAACAAAAUUGAAUGUAAUGAAUACUCUUGUCCAAUCUUUUUCAUUAUUCCAUCUCCUCCUAACUUAAUGAAAGUUUAAACCAACCAAGAAAGGGGAAAAGAACACUUCUACCCAAUUCCUGAAAGAGACUUUUGUAGAGAUCAUGAGAUUUAAUUUAGCAGUUGUAAUAAGAACGUAAACAAUUGUUCACAUGAGACAUAUGUACAAUAAAUGCUCUUUAAUUCAGCUUCAGAUUAGUUUUUAUUUUCUAUAAGCUACAACGUGAAAAGAAUUUCGAAUUUCUUUUAACCUCCAACUCAGGAAGAAUUUUAAUAAAAAAAAACACUUGCCUUUUGGAUCACCAACAUGUUGUGGGCAUCAAAACUUG
rnacentral:lncRNA from 1 species